ACACACGCACGCGCGCUUCUUAAAGGAGACGGCUCAUAAAGGAUUCCCCACUACGCCAGCAGAGGGGAAGAGGAGCCCACGGGAAAGAAAAGCAGGCGAGGUUAAGAAUAAAGAGUGUUCCAGGUAUGACAGCUACCUCGGUGAGGUGGAAGAGAGAAUUGACAAGGCAAAUUUCAUGGGAUAGCACAGAAGCAGAGACUUUAAGUCUAAACAGACCUAGAUUCAGAGCCGACCCGAUGCUGCUUGAAGAAGGCUGGAGGUAUGUUAAGGAGACAAGGGCUGUCAAGAAGCAGGGAUGUCUCUGGAAAGGGUGAGCAGCUGACGUCCUUUGUAAGUUCUCUGGGCAGCAUUGAUGGGAGGUGAAAACCUUGGGAAGAGUCUUGGUUUAACGUGGACUCUAAAUGGUACAAAGUAAUUAGGGCCUCCUUUGUUUCCAUAAACUAUCAUAGACACUCUUCUAAAAUUUCUGUGUUAUCCUAGCUGCUUUUCUAUGAUAUUUUUGGACCCCUGACUUAUUUACACAAAUGGAAUGAUAGCUUUUGGUUGGAAAUUUUAAAUGUCUAAGGCACAAAUUAGACAUGGGACUUCAUUCACACUUCUCCUCUAGAUCUUAAUCAAGACACCCUACAAGCUAUAUUGGACAUUGCACAACGUUUACAAGUGCAAAAUGUACGGAACAUGUGUCAAGCAUUUUUAAAAUUUGCCAUUGUGGAGCAGUGCUCCAGCAUGAUUUGUAAUAGUGCAUUCUGCCUUCCAAAAUGUUUUGACUACUGGUGGUAAUUGCUUUACAAGUGAAAAUUAGCCUCCUCCGUUCUCAGAAUACUUGUAAUCUGAGCAUAUCACACCUCCACAUUUUGCUUGUGAUGCUCUCUCUGUACCUUUUAUCUUCUUAGGCUAUUGAAAUAGUUCAGGUUUCAGCUCAACCGUCGUCUACUCCAUGAAGCCCUCCUUGAUCCUCUCAUUCAAUACUGAUUACUUAAUGCCUUUGUAUUCCCAUAACAAAUGCCUUUGUUUCCAUCUGUUGAUAUUAGGCAGCACAAUCUGAAUUGAGUCAUUGUUGUGUACUUGUUUAUAUUUUCUAGCGGAUUGUGACAUUUAUAUUUGGGUGACUCUGUUUCUUAGUAAAGGAUCUUAAAGAAAGUAUGCUCUCAAUAAAUGCUUAUUCAGUUGAAUUUUGGGUAUUAAUAAAAUGCAAAUUCCAGUAGAGCCUUUGUAUAAUUAUACCCAGAUAGUUUGAUUUUAAAAACUAGUAGAGCUCUUAUAAUUCUUAUAAUACUUUAUAUUUCCUUAUCCCUUUAUGGUUUGAAAAUACUUAUAUAAUAAAUAUGUAUGUGCACAUGUAAGAGUCCAGUAAAAAAAUUCAAGCUGCUACAGCUAGAGUGGGUGAAAAGUGGGUGGUGCAAUGUAACUUGGAAAAAAAAAACAAAAGUAAAAAUCUUCUAAGAAAUGGGAAAACAUUAUUUUUUAUGGAGUACUUGGAAUAUAAGUUGUUCUCUUCCUGACAGAGAGAGAGAGAGGGUGAGAGAGAGAGAGAGAGAAAGAUAAUUCACUUUACAAUAACAAAGAGGAGACAGUAUUCUCAUUCCCACAAACCUUAGCAAGCCUUUCUGCUGAGUUUAUAUUAGAGGAGGCUCACAUCUCAGAAGGUCCUGCAUGUUUACAAGGAUGUGAAGUAACAAGGAGCAUCAGAAAUAGAGCCCUUAUUUCCAAAUCAUCUUCUGAGCAGUAAGCUCUAUGGUUUCCUAAGAUGUACUUCAGCAUUUCCCCAAGGGAAAACAAGAUGAAAAGGUAGGAUUCCAGAUGAGACACACACACACACACACACACACACACACACACACACAUUGUUACUUCAAUUUAGCAGCUCUUCCUAUACUUAAGCACGUUGCUUUCCUUCUUAGAAUGUAUUUGAAGAAAUGGUUCCUUCACCAAAAAAAUACAAUUUUGAAAAUCACUGACCUAAGGACACUAAAAAUAAAAUUAACAAAUUCUUAAGGAAUUUUAAGUGUUAUUACAGCUUUCUGGAAAGCCAAGAAUAAGAUACUAAAGAUUUUCUUGCGAGAAUGUUUAGGGAAAAAAAAAAUCAAAAGACUAGAGAUGCUAAGAAAGAUGCAAAACAAUGAGAAGCAUGACUCCUAACUUCACAAGGAGCUACAAAAAGGCAAAGCAGGUCACUCAGCAGGGUGAUCACUUGUUUAGUGGAACUCCAGAUUUCUGGAAGAGCAAAUGGCAGGAGAAUUUACUGACCGCCUCUCUCCCUACACAUAUUUUACAGAUUAAGUUUCAUCCCACAGGGAGUUUAGUCACUGCAGCUUCAAGCUGCAUCUGACUUUCUUCCAAGUCUAGAAAUGAAGAGGUCAUCCAGAAGAAGUGGAGCUUCAACCAGGAAGAAUUAAGGUGAAGGCAGUUGAGGGAGUUUGGAAAGGUGUAUGAGACCUACAUCCAAUGCAAGUAUAAUUUUUUAGAAACUUUGAGUUGUAAUAGUGAAGAGUUUUACUUGAAUAAAUAUGAUCAGCAGAAAACUUAGACUCACACCAUAGAGAUGGAAGUUUUGGAAUAAAUACAGGUAAAGGAAAAAGCAUAAUGAAAGACAGACCUAUAAGAAUAUUACACUAAAAGUUUGGUUUGUCUGAAGUAUAAAAUGUAUUAUUUUUAGUUAUACCUUCCUUUUAUUGGACAGUAUCUAGGAAAAAGAUAAGCAUUGAAUCUGUAUUAUGAAAUUAUAAGUUACAUAUAAUGUUAGCACAAAGGCAUUCCCUUAACCAUUCCUGUCUGGGUUUACCUAAAUAUCUCAUUGAAAAGAGAAUAAUUUUUGAUAUUAAAACAAGAUUCAACAAUAUAGCAAGCACCGCACCAAGUAUGAGGAACUCAUAUUCCUUAUCAUUAUUUUUAAAGCACUAAGGGAUACGUGAUAGUUUACAGAGAAAUAUACCUGCUGCUAUAUACUCAGUCUAAAUCAUAGUGGCUAUUAGUGGUUUAAAGACAGGUCAACCUGAAUCCAAUUUGGGAUUCUUUCAUUUUGAGUGUACUACUUAGCAUCCUGAAAUAUGGUACUUUUCUUUUGUUUUGUUUCAUUUUAAUCAGCAAAAUGGUGAUAAGAAUAUGGCAAGCAUAGGUUGUAGAGAAUAAAUUAAUAAUCCAUAGUAAUGUUCUAUCAUGGUGCCUAACGAAUGAUAGAUAUUAUUACUUGAUGUUACUUAAUAUCAUUAUCAUCCUUAUUUUUAUAACUACUUAUAUACUUGUUAAAUAUUUAGUAAUCUGUGUACAGUUAAUUCCUAGUAGAAGUUAUAUUUUUCUCAACUAAUAGCUUAUACUGUUCUUGUGAAAUGAAGGGAUAUGAAAACUAAGUUACUGGGUAUUGUUAAGGAUUAAUUUCUGAACUGGGUGGACCCCAGCAACAAUAAAGUCACAAUCCUUGUGCGCCUGGUAUGGGUUGAUCAAUUACUAACAUUUGACAUAGACUAGAGACUAGAAAGUGAACAAAGUUUCUUCAUGCCUUCCAGAGUUUCUUUUCACAUUCAUCAAUUAUUGUGAUUGUUACAAGGUUAUGUGAAGAGGGUAGACCAGUUAUUUUUACUUCCUUUUAAUAGAGAACUGAGACUCAAAGAAACUGUGACUUGAAUAAUAUUUACAGUUACCUUUUGGCAAACUCCUCUUUCAAAACCACUGUUUAGAGCUCAAAGUAUACUACGCUUCAUCACAAGACUCAAACGGAUGAAUAUAUUACAUGUAAAUAUAUAAUAUAAUUAGCAUCUUUGGAAUUAUUGAGCGGUUGCUGUUCUAGACUGAGAAAAAAAGGUAGCAUUUCAUUAAAAUGUUGGUGUUAGAGAACCAGAAUUACAAUGCCAUUCAGUAUUACAUAAUAGGCCUAUUCUGACCUGCCAUUUUGUGGACUAGAUGAUAUAGGGAAGUAAUCUAAAGUAAAAUUUUACUGUAAAUAAACUCUUCAGUAAUUCAGGAAAGCAUUUUAUGUACUAGUGCUCCAAAUUCAGUAAAUUAAAUUCUGAUGUAAUGACCUGUCUGGUUCCUUGUUCCUAAAUCCAUCAAAUGAAGCUCCACCUGCAGGUCCAGACAGUUCUGGCCCAGGCUUGGGAUUCAAUCUGAUUUCCUAAUCAAGGGAAUAAAAAACAAAACAAAACAGCAGAUUCAAUAAUGCAAUGAUUUAGCUGAAUUAUUUUUUUUCCUAUGUGGCUCUGAACUUAUACUGCACUUAAAUUACUAUGUUCUGAUGUUUACUAACAGCUCAUUUCAAUUAAAUCAUUAAAGGAAAUGACAAAUUUUCUGUUGUGUUCUAAUACUCAUUCCUAAAUUCCAAGACUUUCCUCUUAGAAUUCUAUGAGUCCUUCCCCUGAGAUCUGGUUACCAAAACUUUCUUCUAUAAUUUAGAUAUAAAUUUUAGUAAGAUUGCUAAAUGUUAUUCCAUUGCUAUUUUAAUCUACUAAUCUGCUAGCAUGUUAAUUCUGUUAUUGACUAUUGAACUUCUUUGAUUUUAGUGGUCUGUCUACUGGAACUAUUAGAUUAUUUUCUAUCAUAGUUAUCUGAUACUACACAAUAUUUUAAAAUUCUGUUGUAUACUCUUUUUGUAUACUUUAAUUGCCAAAUUGUAAAAGCUACAUUUUCUGGGCAAAUUUAAACCUAACAAAAAUAAAGUUGAGAGCUGAUUCUGUGACCACAUCAGAAGUAUAUUGUUGCAUAAAUAAAUGGGAGGAAGUUUCAAGACCACCUGGGAGCAUAGAAGAUAUGCUUAUCAAAGGUGUGCCUAAUCCAAAGUUAGAAGAUAUAGUAGUUAUUUUCAAUAAUUACAUUAUAUUGAAGAAUAAUCCUAAUAGAUUGUCAUGAUGGGGAUGACUAAAGCUUUCUUGAGAUAAAUCUAUGGCUUAAGUAAUUUAUAAAGAAAAAAUCAAAAAGUAUAGUUAUCUCAUCACUAGAAUGUUUAAACAGAUGGUUAUUUGGCAGGAAUAUUGUAGAAAGCACUCCUUCAUUGAUUUAUGGAUGACCUCUUACGGGCCCUCCACCAGUCUAAUCUUUCAGUUUAUAAUUCACAGGAGUCUCAUACUAGCCUAAUGUUGACCAGUAUUGUAGUCAGCAGCCCAGUGAGACUAUAACAUGUGUUGUCUCAUCAUCCCAUCUCUUUUCCUGUAGCAAUUAUUUUUAUUUAUCUGCAUUCAUAAGAUCAAAUACUUUGUCUGGAGGACAGUAAACUCAUUGCUAUCUCAAAUGGAAAACAUCACAUACUGUUCCUAGUAAACUAAUUGAAUUUACUUUAAAUAGAAGACAGGACACACACAAUCAUGACAAUAAAAAGACUGUUAUGAUAUUAUGCACUUAAAAAAUUUUAGUUUUUCACACCUAGUUAGUACUGCGGAAAUGUUAGGUGUUCUUUAAACCAUCAUAUUCUUACUUGAAUUUAUAUUCUUAGUCAUUUUAUUUCUAGCAAGAUAGAUAAAUGCAAAGUCUUGAAUGUGGACAAUGUUUAUUUAAGAUGAUGUUCUAUAAGAAACUUUGAAAAAUAAAAUCCAAAAAGAACAAAUUAAAUAAUAUGAGCUUAUUGAAUUAGUGAUAUAUAACAUGGUGAGAAAACACAAUAAAUAUCCUCAAAGAUCAAAUGCCACCUGCUGUGAUUCUCUUGGCAGAAGACCCAUUGGAUAGUCAUUGAUCUCUUCCAUGUGGUGUAAAAGAAAUUCUAACCAAGGGCCAUUUCCCCAGUGGCUAUACAGCUUUUCCAAUAAAGCUUUUUCUUUAUAGCCACAGAGAGAUAAUGCAUUUCCAUUGGGAAGUGAGUGUAUGAGAAUAUAAAUCACCUGGGAAUCUUUGAGCGAAGGAUUUUUCUUUAAAUUCACUACAGCCAUCUUCACUUUUGUCACUUUCUAAAGCCUGGGUUCUCCUACGAAUUUUAACUAACUUUUUCCAAUAGAAGGUGGAUAUAUUGUAAUCUAAGUAAUCUUCCCAACUAGCUUUUUGGAAGAGAUGUCUUAAGAGAUACAAGAAAAAUUCUUAGCAAAAAUCACUAUUUUUAUCAAGCGGUCAAUAUUUUUCACUUCUGUCUUCUACUGUGGUGAAAAUGCAAGCUUUAAAUGACCCUCUUGUGCACACUCAUCAUUUGGUGCCCAGUACUUCUUCUGUCUGAUUUUAUUUCCCCACCACUCUGCUCUAAAACUUGUAUAUAGCUUCAUGAUCUAAAUUAACUAUUUCCUUCUUCCUUUGCCUUCACUAAGACUCAGUUUUCCCUCAGAGCGCAAUCAGCCUGUUACCUUCUGGAGUGGAAAUGGCUCAGCCUCCCACUCUAAUGUAUUACAGGCCAGGGAGAAAUACCGGUACCAAUGGCAUUAAAUCAACACCAUUGUUUUUUUAAUUGAAAGAGAACCCAUUUAUUCAGAUUCAUGAAAUUUAGCACUAAUCAAUUUGAAAACUUCCUUUACUAUCAUAUUAUUAGGUCUUUCUGCUCCUUAGCUUAGCUAUGUCUGAGUUCUUGUCUCACAACCAGGAAGAAUUAGGUGAGUGGACAUGGGAGAGUGAGUGGAGUAGAAUUUAUUAAGUGAAAGGCAAGCUCUCAGCAAAGAGGUGACACAGAGGCUGUUUUCCCUACCUGAGGGUGGGAAUGUCCCCCAUGUGGCUGGGUCCGAGCCCUUUUAUGGACUCAGAAUGGGAAGUAUGUGCUGAUUGGUUUGUGAGUAUGCAAAAAGGUUAAAGUUAACAAACCACUCAAAGGUGAGCACAACAGCGUAGAAAAGCAAUUAGGAAAGGGUGGGGAUCAAUCAGAGGAAAGUACACCAAACAGGAAUAAAAGUUCUUCAUCUGUUCUAUGGAUUUAACUUGUAGGUUGGCUUUCAGGUUUUAAACUGUCUUUGGCUUGGAGGUGGGGUUUCACUGGGGACCAACCCCUAUCUGUCUAGGCAUUUGCCUGCCUCCUGCUGCUCCUAAUAUUUAAUCUCCCAAUUAUUAUAUUUUCCCCAAGUAUUAGAGAGAGAAAUGAGUCCCAGCUUAUAAUCUUUAUGAUGUUAGUUCUAACUGUCAUCAGGGAAAUAGUCUAACAUUCAUGUGGUAAACAUGCCCAACAAUAUAGUUCUAAAGAGCUAUCCAAUUUCAGCACUAGCCUGAAGACUCCAAUCCACAGCUUACUACAUGGACAUAUUCUGGAACUUAGAUGUGCUAUGACUCUUCCAUUUUUUUCUCUCAUAAUCUCUAAAGUUGAAAAUAGAUGUAUUUUUUCCAGCUGACUUUUCACAUCAUAUUGCAGCUGAAUACUGCUCCAGGAAAUAAUAAUGGCUUAUAAACUAGUGACAGCUCAAAUCAUGGUCUCUAAGCUACCUUAUCCAUCAGUACCCCCAAGGCAAUCAAACAUUUUCUGAGAUCUUAGCCAGCUUUUUCUUUCCAAAAUACUUAUCCCAAACCUUUCAACUCCUAAGUCUCUUUAUUCAUCUGCUUAAUUCUGUCUCUUAACAUGGCCUGGCAUACAUUAUGGAAAAUAUUGAUAUCUUUAGGAGUAAAAAGUGUGCAAUUUUCUAAAGCUAGAAACCAUAGAAAUGGAGUCCCACCAGAAAUCAAGGAACACUUACCUGAGGAAAUGCUGGAUUAUGCAGAAUGCUUUGGAAGAAUGUGGUAGAUGGUUAAACAUGACUUGAAUAUAAUUCAAAUCCGACAGGAGAUGUGGGUGGAAGGAUAGGUUGGAAGCAAACAGAGCAAAUUUUAACUUGAUGUUUUCACCAUACAUGUCUUUCACAAAGAUAAAUAUUAUCCUUUUGAACUUCCAGCUACCCAUAGGAGUAAAUUUAUACAAAUCCACAGAAGACUGGAUGAAUAGCAUGAACAUUUUAGUAGCAGGAAACAUUGGGAGAUGUCAGAACAAAAAUGAUCAGUUUAAAGAGACAGAAGAAAAGGAGGUAAUUCAUCAGUUAUAUUAUUUGAGGCCAUUUCAGAGUAGUUAUUCAUUCAAAAGGUCAGUUUGUAGAUUUGCUUUGCAAAUGGAACAAAUUAAGAAAAUGAUAGGCUGAGAGAUGAUUACACACUGAAUGUUAGCACGGUGUUCCUGCCAGCAGGGCACUGAUGAGCCUUUGAAUAGAAUGGGAUUAGGAAGUGAUUUUUCAACUGUUAAAUGGUAUCAGAGCAGGUAAACAUAUAAGGUUGUGUGGUUUGGAACAAAGCAUCAUGAAUAGCUUUUUAAAUUAUUAAUGAUUUCUCCUUUUGUUAGUGCUCUGUUAGCAAGGCCUGCACUAUUAUUUAGUAAUUCCUUUUAAUUAGGCUUCUCAAAGCUGCUUUUAAGUUAUAUUCCAUUUGAAAUGAAAAUAAUUGACUACAUAAAAGAAUUAGAAACCACUGUAUUAAAACCACAUGUUUAAGUACAACUGUUUUGUUCCUUUUUUGCUUUCAAAGUAUAUUCUUCCUGUUAAGAAAUAAAACUAACAGAAAAGCAAUAAAUUAACCAGGUUAUUUAAUAUACAAUAGCUAACAAAAUUAAUUUGCAACAGUGCAAUCCAAAAAUAGUUUAAUCCAGUAAGGAAGUACAGAAUGCUGUGCAAUAUGAUAUGUGAUAAGAAAGAAGAGUAAUUAAGCCAUGUUGCUGUUAUACAGUAUCUUAGAAGCUGAUAAAGAGAGGUUUAUUUAACAGAAUACAUUUUUAGCUAAAAUGACACUAGCCAGAUUUGCAAUAGGAUGUCUUGUCUUACAUUCUCUAGUAAUGAUUGUUUUUUUGUUUUGUUUUGUUUUGUUUUGUUUUGUUUUGUUUUGUUUUGUUUGAGAUGGAGCCUCGCUGUGAUGCCCAGGCUGGAGUGCAAUGGCACGUCUCAGCUCACUGCAACCUCUGCUUCCCAGGCUCAAGCAAUUUUCCUGCCUCAGCCUCCCAAGUAGCUGGGACUACAGGCAUGCGCUACCACACCUGGCUAACUUUUGUAUUUUUAGUAGAGAUGGGGUUUCACCAUAUUGGCCAGGCUGGUCUCAAACUCCUGACCUGAAGUGAUCUGCCCACCUCGGCCUCCCAAAGUGCUGGGAUUACAGGUGUGAGCAACUGUGCCUGGCCUCUAGCAAUGAUAAUAAAUAUCUAAUGUCUAGUGUUUUUAUUUGUCAGAUGGUUUAGUAGACACCUGUUAAUUUGUCUGCCUGGCAUUCAUUCAUCUUCCUCAUGGUAGGUGUACCCCAAUUUUCCUUGAGAAACCAGACCUCAUCAACUAUUAGCCUAUGAGGUCCAGAUGGCAUUGAUUCCAGGGAUGAUCACAGAGUCUAGGGAUGGUUUAUUAGAACAAAUCAUUCUUUCAGCCAUAGUGAUUGGAUCAAAGAUGGAUAGAAGAUAAUGUUAUGUGAUUCAGAACCAAUAACAUUCCGUUUAUGGACUGACAUGGUAUGAACAGCAAGAUCCAUUCAUGCCUGAAGUAAGAAAAUGUAAGCCAAAUACUACUUUGAUUGAGCCGUUUUGAGCUGAGUUGCUGUCUUUUAUAAAAGGAAGUGACUGAACUGAAACAAAUGGCUUCUUGGAGAAAUCCCUAAAUUACUAUGAUGUUUUAAAUCCUUAUACUCUUAAAGUGGCACGGGCCCAUCCCCACUCACCUCUUUCCCUCAUAACACUCUUUUCUGUUCUGAUCAUAUAAAAGAGAUAAUGGUCACUUGCUUUUUAUAAUUUUCCUUUAUGAAAUUGAAUGAAAUUUACAAGUAAAAGGAUAAUAUCUCAACCAAAUGUUACUGAUUCUAAAACUAAUCACUCGGUGCAAUUAAUCUGUGCUUAUUCUAAUGUCUGUUUGUACCUCCUCCUCCCACACCAAGUCUAUUUACUUUGUUUACUUACCAACAUGGAUCAAAAUACAAUCAAAGCUUUCAAAAACAAUUACAACAGAUGUGUGUCAAAUUAUACUAUAAAAUUUAUCAAGUCAUUCCUAAGGUUACAUUAAAUAAAUAAUAGAAAAUCUUACCUUUGCUCAUGAUUGAACUGAAAAAAGAAAUAGUCAAUACAUGAUAUACAAUAUGGAACUAACUUACAGAAUCAAAUCACAGGUAAUGUUCUUACUACAGGCAAAUAAAUUAAACAAAGGAAUAAACAAACAAAGCUGUAAUAUUUGUAAAAUAUUUGAGGGUAGAGUUCAAUAUAAUUGACAUAAAGUAAUUAAUUUCACCCUAAUGAGAUGUCUAAAUUGGAUCUUAAAUAUUAGCU